rfam:Calypte anna contig29109, whole genome shotgun sequence.
CUCCUGUGAUGAACUCUUGAGACAUUGUGUCUGGGCCACUGAUGCUUCAUGAUGGUAAUGAGGAUCUGAGGGG